rnacentral:rRNA from 1 species
CAGGUAGUUGGCGGGGUAACGGCCCACCAAGCCUACGAUCAGUAACUGGUGUGAGAGCACGACCAGUCACACGGGCACUGAGACACGGGCCCGACUCCUACGGGAGGCAGCAGUAAGGAAUAUUGGUCAAUGGACGCAAGUCUGAACCAGCCAUGCCGCGUGGAGGAUGAAGGUCCUCUGGAUUGUAAACUUCUUUUAUUUGGGAAAAAACCACCGAUUUCUAUUGGUGUUGACGGUACCAGAUGAAUAAGCACCGGCUAACUCCGUGCCAGCAGCCGCGGUAAUACGGAGGGUGCAAGCGUUAUCCGGAUUCACUGGGUUUAAAGGGUGCGUAGGCGGGUUGGUAAGUCCGUGGUGAAAUCUCCAAGCUUAACUUGGAAACUGCCGUGGAUACUAUCAAUCUUGAAUAUAGUGGAGGUGAGCGGAAUAUGUCAUGUAGCGGUGAAAUGCUUAGAUAUGACAUAGAACACCCAUUGCGAAGGCAGCUCGCUACACUAUUAUUGACGCUGAGGCACGAAAGCGUGGGGAUCAAACAGGAUUAGAUACCCUGGUAGUCCACGCCCUAAACGAUGAUUACUCC